rnacentral:rRNA from 1 species
AACGAACGCUGGCGGCAUGCCUAACACAUGCAAGUCGAACGAUGCUUUCGGGCAUAGUGGCGCACGGGUGCGUAACGCGUGGGAAUCUGCCCUUGGGUUCGGAAUAACAGUGAGAAAUUGCUGCUAAUACCGGAUGAUGUCUUCGGACCAAAGAUUUAUCGCCCAGGGAUGAGCCCGCGUAGGAUUAGCUAGUUGGUGGGGUAAUGGCCUACCAAGGCGACGAUCCUUAGCUGGUCUGAGGAUGAUCAGCCACACUGGGACUGAGACACGGCCCAGACUCCUACGGGAGGCAGCAGUGGGGAAUAUUGGACAAUGGGCGCAAGCCUGAUCCAGCAAUGCCGCGUGAGUGAUGAAGGCCUUAGGGUUGUAAAGCUCUUUUACCCGGGAUGAUAAUGACAGUACCGGGAGAAUAAGCUCCGGCUAACUCCGUG